CCACCAACGAAAAAUAAACUGUUUGUCAAAUAAAUGGAUCAACGCUACACAAAGUGACAUAUUACCAUACUGGUGACCUCUUUUUUUCUUUUUAAAAAGUUCCUUUAUGAAAUAAGUCUCAUAUCAAUAAAGGAACAAGUCGGCAAGCACGCGAGCACAGUUAUUCCAAUGAAAAUGUCGACUGCUUGUGAAAAACAUGUCUUCCAAAUGUAAAAAAAUAUGUUGUCAAACAAGAAUUUAAACAUCUUGAUAAUGCCAGAUUCAGAGAAAUUGUGUCUGAAUCAGAGUGACAAAAUACUUGUAUCUACGCUGAAAAAUCUCUUUUAUGAACCAAAGAAGAGCUACCUCUUCCAAUUAGUCUUUUAUGUGAAAUAAGGAAUACUUGUAUAAAGAAUAGAAAGAUUAAUUUAGUACUAUUGCAACAUGAAAGAGUCUUAGAUUGUAUGUUCUAUAGACUCACAAUAUUUCGGGCCUUUGUAUAAAACAUUUCGCAGAGAUGUGUUUUUGAUAACGUAACCAGACUAGCCGUAUUAAAUAUGAACGAGGACGUGUUCAAAUGAGACAACUAUACAUAAAAGACCAAUGGCCCAAUUGACCAAUGGACAAUGACGUAAAUAAUUACAGGGCACCAUAUGGCUUCAAACAUUUAAAAAUCACUACAAUAUACAACUACAUAGUCCCUGACAUCACAAGCUAUGAAUCAACGCAAAAGAAAAAACCAACAGUCUUAUGUAUACUACUAUAAUAAACAAAGACAGAAUAUGACUGACAAAAAUAAAUUGGAUAACAAAGUAUUCAUAGUAAUUGGAAAAUGUUAAUGCUAUUGCAAAAUUUGUACAAAUAAGGAGAUAUGGUAUGACAACUCAAAUUAUUUGCAACUGUUUGUCACCGUACGGUCUUCGCCAAUUAAAACAAAAAACCUAGCGUAUAGUGCUGCUAAUUGUUAAAAGCGCAAACAAGAACACGAACUGCCUAAUUUAUACAAUAUUGUUUACGAAAAAAACUAGUACGUCAGACAGGAACCAACAACAUCUGCUAAAUUUCAGGCUCCUUACAUUGGACAGGAAAAUAAAGAAUAUGGCCGGUAAGAAUACGUUUUUUAGUGUAUAACCCUCCUAUAAUCUGGGACAAUGGUGUUAAAGUCCGAAACAGAUGAAACCACUAAGAUGAAUGAUUUAUAUGUGCAAAAUAUAUACAGACUUUCGAAUUGCAUUUAAAUGAAAUUUAACAUUUCGAUUUUGUGAUUUUUGACGUUGAAAUAUUUUAUUUUAUUUUCUUAUAUUAUAGAUAUUUAAAAAGAAC
rnacentral:lncRNA from 1 species